UUUAUUGGUGGGCAUGAAUGGGAAAGGGCAGUGCUGAGGUUCUCAUGAAUGCAGAGCCUGCCAUUUGUCCAAGGGGCCACGAUUAGGGAUGUAUUUGACCCCACAGCCAUCUGGGAUGAGCCGCUUUUCAGCCACCAUGUCUUCAAAUUUGUCCACAUUAAACUUAAGAUCUGAAGAGCAC